rnacentral:rRNA from 1 species
AAAUAGGCAAAUCUGUUUAGACAAUGCUAGGAUGUGAUGGGGAAGCCCUUCGGGGCGAAGUAGCUGAUUUCACACUGUCAAGAAAAGCUUCUAUCGAGUUUAAAGGCGCCCGUACCGUAAACCGACACAGGUGGGUGAGGAGAGUAUCCUAAGGCCAGCGAGAGAACUAUUGUUAAGGAACUCGGCAAAAUGACCCCGUAACUUAGGGAGAAGGGGUGCCUGUCUAUGACAGGCCGCAGAGAAUAGGCCCAAGCGACUGUUUACCAAAGACACAGGUUUCUGCUAAGUCGCAAGACGAUGUAUAGGAGCUGACGCCUGCCCGGUGCUGGAAGGUUAAGGGGAUCUGUUAGAGCAAUCGAAGCAGUGAACUUAAGCCCCAGUAAACGGCGGCCGUAACGAUAACGGUCCUAAGGUAGCGAAAUUCCUUGUCGGGUAAGUUCCGACCCGCACGAAAGGCGUAACGAUUUGGGCACUGUCUCAACAAUAGACUCGGUGAAAUUGUAAUCCCGGUGAAGAUGCCGGGUACCUGCGACAGGACGGAAAGACCCCAUGGAGCUUUACUGUAGCUUGACGUUGGGUCUUGGUACUACAUGUACAGGAUAGGUGGGAGACUAUGAAGCAUGGACGCCAGUCUGUGUGGAGUCAUCCUUGGGAUACCACCCUUGUAGAACUGGGAUCCUAACCAUAGGCCUUGAAUCAGGUCUUGGAACACCGUCAGGUGGGCAGUUUGACUGGGGCGGUCGCCUCCUAAAAAGUAACGGAGGCGCUCAAAGGCUUCCUCAGCACGGUCGGAAAUCGUGCGAAGAGUGUUAAGGCAAAAGGAAGCUUGAUUGCAAGACAUACAGGUCGAGCAAGGACGAAAGUCGGACUUAGUGAUCCGGUGGUACCGCAUGGAAGGGCCAUCGCUCAACGGAUAAAAGCUACCCUGGGGAUAACAGGCUUAUCUCCCCCAAGAGUCCACAUCGACGGGGAGGUUUGGCACCUCGAUGUCGGCUCAUCACAUCCUGGGGCUGUAGUAGGUCCCAAGGGUUGGGCUGUUCGCCCAUUAAAGUAGUACGCGAGCUGGGUUCAGAACGUCGUGAGACAGUUCGGUCCCUAUCCGUCGCAGGCGUAGGAAAUUUGAGAAGACCUGUCCUUAGUACGAGAGGACCGGGAUGGACGUACCUCUGGUGUACCAGUUGUUCUGCCAAGGGCAUGGCUGGGUAGCUAUGUACGGAAUGGAUAAGCGCUGAAAGCAUCUAAGCGCGAAGCCAACUUCAAGAUAAGAUUUCCCACCGUAAGGGUAAGACCCCAGGAAGACUACCUGGUUGAUAGGUCGAAGGUGUAAGUGCAGUAAUGUAUUUAGCUUAUCGAUACUAAUAGGUCGAGGACUUGACC